rnacentral:rRNA from 1 species
GUGGGAUAAGCCUAAAUAUUCCUGUCUGACCGAUAGCGAACGAGUACCGUGAGGGAAAGGUGAAAAGUACCCCGGGAGGGGAGUGAAACAGUCUCUGAAACCAUGCGCCUACGAACCGUCGGGGCCCCCUUGUGGGGUGACGGCGUGCCUAUCGAAAAAUGAGUCUGCGAGUCAGUGGCAUGUGGCGAGCAUAACCCGUGUGGGGUAUGCGUAGCGAAGGCGAGUCUUAAAAGGCGUUUGAGUCGCGUGUCCUGG